rnacentral:tmRNA from 1 species
UAUUGGACCCGGGGGCGGUACCCGGCGCCUCCACCAAAAUAUAAACAACCAAAAUUAUAUUUUGGUGGGGGCGAAAUAGGAUCGACAAGGGUGUAAAGAUCGCUCUUUUACUCGGCAUUGUACCACCGUUAUCGGGCUAAAUGAGUAGUUGCAAAUGACAACUAUGCGGAAGCACGUCUCGCCGCCUAAGGUGGUGUGAAUGUUUCAAAUUGACUCUUAAACCGUCGCAGGUUUAAGCGGGGUUGGAAGG